rnacentral:rRNA from 1 species
UACGGAGGGUGCGAGCGUUGUCCGGAAUCACUGGGCGUAAAGGGCGCGUAGGCGGCCCGCGCAAGCGUGCGGUGAAAGCCCGGGGCUCAACCCCGGGUCGGCCGUGCGGACUGCGGGGCUCGAGCACUGUAGGGGCAGAUGGAAUUCCGGGUGUAGCGGUGGAAUGCGUAGAGAUCCGGAAGAACACCGGUGGCGAAGGCGGUCUGCUGGGCAGUAGCUAACGCUGAGGCGCGACAGCGUGGGGAGCAAACAGG